rnacentral:rRNA from 2 species
GGAAGCGAUCAUACCAGCACUAAAGCACCGGAUCCCAUCAGAACUCCGAAGUUAAGCGUGCUUGGGCGAGAGUAGUACUAGGAUGGGUGACCUCCUGGGAAGUCCUCGUGUUGCAUUCC